GGUCUCUGUAUACUUUAGUUGACUUCUUAUGUUUUCGUUAGAUUUUUGCUUCACUUUCUCUAAAGUUCUGUAUUGAAGACCCAAUGAAAUAUGACUUUUUUCAACUGUGGGUUCUAUUUAACUUUAUGUUCUGACUAGUUUUGGUUAAAAUAUAAGGAAAACUAAUGAAAAAGGCUUGACAACUUUGAGUUUUAACGAUAAGGACAACAUAAAGGGUAAAGUGAAUAGUACCAAGAUUGACUUUUUAGUGUAAAAAUGUGGUUUUUCGUUAAAAUGAACAGUACCGGAAGCUUUUCGUUAAAGUUCCCUAAAAUAUAUGACCCGUUCACCAGUGUAGACUUGUUUGAUGUGCUUAUAGUUGUCUUUUUUCACUUAAGCUAUUUAUAACAGUGGAUCUCAUUUCGCUUGAAUUCCUGCCAGCUUACGUAAUACUGGCUGAAUCAUGCAAAUGGUUCUUUCUUAAUAACUGUCUGUGGUUCUCACCAUUUGGACUAUCUUACUUGUUGCUCAUCCAGUGGCAUGAAGCAUCAAGCAAUAUUUUAACUUUUUUGACUGUUUACAAGUGUUCCUAA